rnacentral:misc_RNA from 1 species
GAUGAAGAACGUAGCGAAAUGCGAUACGUAAUGUGAAUUGCAAAUUCAGUGAAUCAUCGAGUCUUUGAACGCACAUUGCGCCCCCUGGUAUUCCGGGGGGCAUGCCAGUCCGAGCGUCAUUGCUGCCCUCAAGCACGGCUUGUGUGUUGGGCCCCGUCCUCCGAUCCCGGGGGACGGGCCCGAAAGGCAGCGGCGGCACCGCGUCCGGUCCUCGAGCGUAUGGGGCUUUGUCACCCGCUCUGUAGGCCCGGCCGGCGCUUGCCGAUCAACCCAAAUUUUUAUCCAGGUUGACCUCGGAUCAGGUAGGGAUACCCGCUGAACUUAAGCAUAUCAAUAAGCGGAGGA